UCAAAUUUGACAAUGAGCCUGCCGAAGUGAACGAAGCGUAUCUUACGUACACAUAUUUAACGGAGAACGGGCUUACGCAGCCACGUGGGUCGAGACAAUAUUCCGAGGGAGAUGAAAAUUUUUAUGUAGCUCGUAUCGUUCGACCUUAGCGGGAGACGGAAUAAACAAUGAAAAACUGUACCGGGUGAUCAGUUAGAAAGCAUAAAUUGUUCAAAAUAUUCGAAAAAAAUAGAAGUCGCAUGACAUAUCACUUGGUGAAUUGGAAAUCAGGCGUCGACGUUGAUCAGAGUUUGUUAUCAUUUAUUGAUCUUCGAAUAAUAUUUUAUCUCCGUGUUAUGUAGUUUCAGGUAAAAGCAGUUUCGUCAAAGGAUUUGAAAUCGCAAUCGUGAUGCGGGGGACGAUGACGGUGCGAAACGCCGGUAGCGAAUUUGAAUUGGAGAAACUGGUUUUUAGAUUGCACUUUCACCCUGGUAAUGGCGGAAGGAAAAGAAAACGAAGAAAAAUUCUAUCACAUCGCUAAUUGAAGAUCGACAAUCGACCUCAAGACGACAAUCAUCUCGUAUUAGAUAGCAGAUCUUUUUCACUGUUGCCGCAGCCUUUUUCCCUCCUAUGAUUGAAUUACGUAAAUAUAUUUUAUCGUUUACCGCGCACACUAUUUCUCCGGGACAUAAAAACAAUGGACAGGACAAUAUGCCAUCGAUUGAUGUGUACAGCGAAGCAAUUAAAUACGAUCCAAAAAUUCCCAUGUGGAGCAGUAUAAUUAUUGUCUGUAAAAAAAAAAAAAUUGAAGGUACAAAAAGAAAAAACGAAAAAAAAAAAGGAAUAACAGGAAAGAAAAGAAAAAUGAAACACGUUGUAGUGACACGGGCGAAUAUACAUCAUUUAGAAAGUUAAUGAUAUCAAUUUUAUACACCAUCCAUCGUCCGUCAACAAGGUACCUAUAUUUUUACUCGUCAAAACCGAAAACACGUUGAAUAAUUGUCAAAUUGUCAAAUCCCAAUUUCUUCUGGAAUCUGCAUUCUUCCUUCGAUUAACAAUGUCAUUAUCGUGCACGCAUGCGGUCGGUGAUCGGUAUCGUAUGUGCGAUCCGCACGCGUCCGCGAGCGGUCAAACUGGAUCACGAGGGCCGUGCCUGUCGAUCCAAUUCUUUUUUUCUUAUUUCUUUAUUCGCCAUCGGUACGACGCUCGGUACAAGAAAUACAGGAGGAAGGUGUUUCCUUCGCGCGUAGAAGAUGCUGGGUGACCAAAUACCGGCGCUUGGCAUGUUGGCUCGCCGAUGCGAGUAUGAUAAAAAAGGCAAUUGAUUUCGUUUUACUUUCUCCGUUAGGAUAACGGAAGCUGAUCUGUGGACGGUCGCCGUCCAAUUUUGGAGCAUCGUGAAACAAGUCCAAAGAGGAGACCGUCCGUUGUACACAUUCCAUAAUUCCACGUGCUGUAUGGUAUACAUACAUACAUACAUACAUGUGUAUACCCGCGCAUAACGCGUCGAACUCACCGACCGCAGCAUCGACGGUUUUAAUCUUGAAACAAGGUGUACCUGCGGCCUACAGUUCACCGAAAUAUUAUUUAUAAUUUAUUUAAUAUAACUUCGCGACAACCAAAUUUAGACGCGCAGUGAGAGUGGAAUUAUUUAUUAUAUCCUUGACGCAGUCACAGUUUUAUACCUAUAUGUAUAAAUACAUGCGCGUACUCUUACGGUAUAUAAACGGAGAAAUUACGUGCCUUCUUUAUUAUGCCUACAUUUUUCAUAAAAUCUUAUUUUCAAGGUACUAUACAGUACCAUACUAUACUCUGUCACAUGUGUAUACCUGACCAACAAUAAGACUGUUCCAAGAUUAUCAUUAAUAUUUUAACCGCAAUAAUUAUCUACAGAAUUUCUCAACACGUGCAUAACCGUUGGCAAGGCCAAAAACCG